rnacentral:sRNA from 1 species
GCUCGGGGACCACUGGCAGCGGCAGCAGCUCGCGCCCGCGCCCUCCUCGUACCCGUGCGCCCCCGGAGACCGAUCCCGCCCCGCGGCCCAGGCCGGGCCUGAACCCAGCGGGUGCCGCGUCUCCACCCGAGGCUUCCACCUCCAACGAGCCAUGUUCCAGGCUGCAGGAGCCGCCCAGGCCACCCCCUCUCAUGACGCCAAAGGCGGCGGCAGCAGCACGGUGCAGCGCUCCAAGGUAGGGGCCUGGGGCCGAGUGUGCGGGAGGAGGGGUGUGAGGGAGCGGGAUGAGCACUGGGGCAGCACCUGGCUGAGCCUCCCGCACAGUCCUUCAGCCUGCGGGCCCAGGUGAAGGAGACCUGCGCCGCCUGCCAGAAGACCGUGUACCCCAUGGAGCGGCUGGUGGCCGACAAGCUCAUUUUCCACAACUCUUGCUUCUGCUGCAAGCACUGUCACACCAAGCUCAGCCUGGGCAGCUACGCCGCGCUGCACGGGGAGUUCUACUGCAAACCCCACUUCCAGCAGCUGUUUAAGAGCAAAGGCAACUACGACGAGGGGUUUGGCCGCAAGCAGCACAAGGAGCUCUGGGCCCACAAGGAGGUGGACCCCGGCACCAAGACGGCCUGAGGCCUCUGUAACCUUCCACCCCCUCUGCGGAGGGCCUGGAGCCGGCAGGGGGAAGGUGGGAAGGAGGUCGAGCUGGGCUUGGGUG